GGUCAUAGUUCAGUGGUAGAGCACCUGCCUUGCAUGCAGAACAUCCCAGGUUUAAUCCCCUGUGGCAUCU